UAACAGUAGGGGCAGAAGCUCAAGACCAGCUCAAGAGGGGAGGAGGGGUGACUGAGCAUGUGUGAAUGGUUGUAAACAGAAUAAAAUGCUGGAAAUAUCAAGUGGCAAACACUGACAGCUCCUACAGGCUCCCUCCACACCAGCUGCAUGCAGAUGGCUCUUUCCCAGUGGGGCAGGAGUGGCACAGGGCAGAACAGGGGGCACAGCUCUGUAACCACAAUAUCCUGCUCACUUCUGCACUUGUGACAUGCUCUACUCAGGCUACACAGAGCCACUGCCAAGUGUUCACCUCACAAAGCCUGUUUGAAGCUUUCAUUCACCAUUCAAACUGGGUAGAAAAAUCUGGGGGUUUACAUUCACAUUCUCCACCUUGGAGAAUGCAAAUAUAUUUAAGCUACAAGUGUCUGCUUAUAAGAUGGCCCAGCAAAAGCUUCCAGGCUUAAAUCCCCUACUGGUAAGCAGCAGGACAGCUCAUUUGAAAGCAGCCCAGCUCACAGGAAUCCUUCAAGCUCUUCAGAACUUCAUCCAGCUGCAAAGUUGCCAUAAAAAAGUGCCUACCACCAAUUUCUUGUAAAGAAGCCA